rnacentral:rRNA from 1 species
GAGAUUGAGAAAAUUGUUUUUUUUUUGAAUUUAGGAAUUUUAAUUUUUAUUUUUAGAGAGAUGUUUUAGACUAUAGUUGAGAGUACUGUAAAGGAAUUUUGAAAGUAAGUGUUAAAAUUACUUAAAGUAUUUUGAUUUAAUACCUUUUGUAUAAGGGUUUAGAAAUUAAAAAAUUGUUUUUUUUAAUCCCGAAACUCAAGGAGCUAUUUUUAAUAAAAUAUUUAUUAUGUUGCAUAAUAAUAAUGAAAUUAAGAAUAGAGAUGAAAUUUUAGUCGGAUUGAGUGAUAUCUGGUUAUGAGAAUUUAACUAUAUGUUAAUAGUGAAGUUUUGGAAAUUGAAAUGCUUCAUUUUUUAAAGCUUUUGGGAUAAGCCAAUGGUUUUUUUAUAAAAGAUAGUGUAAUUAAUGGAAGGUUUAAAAUUUACUGGGGUUUGUAGUAAAACAUUAAUUUUAUGAGGUAAAUUUAAAGUGUUUGUUUAAUUUAAUUAAUUUUAAUUAAAAGUGAUGAUGCUGGAAUUAGUAAAAGUAUAUAUUUUUCUUUUUUUAUUUUAAAAUUUUUUUUUAAAAAAGUUUUUUUAGAUUUAAGAAUUCGGCAAUAAAGUUUCCGGCUGUUUAUCAAAAACAUUGUAUUUUGCAGUUAUAAAAUAUAUAACCUGCUCAAUGAAUAUUUAAAUUGCUGUGGUAUUUUGACUAUACAAAGGUAUUGAAAUAAGACUUUAAAUGGGUGCUAAGAGAAUGGUGGAACGGAGAGUUUCUUUUUUUGAAUUUAGAUAUUUGAAGUUAAUUUAUAAGUGAAAAAGCUUAUAUAAUUUUUUGGGACAAGAAGACCCUAUGAAUUUUUAAGGAAGUAAAUUUGAUAGAGAUUUAUAUUAAUUUUCUAUAAUUUGAAUUUCUUUUAGUUGGGGUGACUUUGAAAGAUUGAUUAUCUUUUUUUAUUUUAAAAAGAUCCAUUAUUAAUGAUUUUUUGAGAAAAAUACUCUAGGGAUAACAGCGUUAUAAUUUUUGAUAGUUCAUAUAGACAAAAUUGAUUGCGACCUCGAUGUUGGAUUAGGAUACCUUUAAUAAUGAAGGAGUUUUAAGAGGAAGUUUGCUCAACUUUUAAUAUCCUACAUGAUCUGAGUUCAGACCGGCGUGAGCCAGGUUGGUUUCUAUCUAAAUAGUUAGGUUUUUGUUUUAGUACGAAAGGAAUUUUCAAAAGGGUUUAACUCAUAUUCUUUUUAAAAUUUAAAUUUA